rnacentral:rRNA from 1 species
AGUUUGAUCCUGGCUCAGAACGUACGCUGGCGGCACGCCUAACACAUGCAAGUCGAACGAAGUAGCAAUACUUAGUGGCGAACGGGUGAGUAUAAUGUGGGUAUCUGCCCUUUGGUUUGGAAUAACACGAGGAAACUUGUGCUAAUACUGGAUAAGCCUUCACAGGGAAAGCUUUAGCGCCAAAGGAUGAGCCCACACUUGAUUAGCUUGUUGGUAAGGUAAAAGCUUACCAAGGCUACGAUCAAUAGCUGAUCUGAGAGGAUGAUCAGCCACAUUGGGACUGAGACACGGCCCAAACUCCUACGGGAGGCAGCAGUGGGGAAUCUUGCACAAUGGGGGAAACCCUGAUGCAGCGAUGCCGCGUGAGUGAAGAAGGCCUUUGGGUUGUAAGGCUCUUUCGUCGGGGAAGAAAAUGACUGUACCCGAAUAAGAAGGUCCGGCUAACUUCGUGCCAGCAGCCGCGGUAAUACGAAGGGACCUAGCGUAGUUCGGAAUUACUGGGUUUAAAGGGCACGUAGGUGGUUAAGAAAGUUGGUGGUGAAAUCCCAAGGCUUAACCUUGGAACUGCCACCAAAACUUUUUAACUAGAGUAUGAUAGAGGUAAGCGGAAUUUCUAGUGUAGAGGUGAAAUUCGUAGAUAUUAGAAAGAACACCAAUUG